AUGUGAUAGUUAAGCUUCAGUCUUUAGUUUAUUUCACUUCAAAUUACAGGCUCAACGUACUUUAGUUUUUCUAAGUUGAGCAUUUCAGAGAAGAGAUUUCGCCUCAGUCAAUAUGAUUUAAAGUAGAUAUCUAUUAGCAUUAACCUGACAAAGGCUCUCAACUCGGUUGUCACAGCACGUUUAUACUCCCAUCUUGAUGCAAUAAGGAGAACAGCAAUGAGAAGACAUGCAUUGAAACUGCAACCACUACAGAGCUGACGUCCUGGAGGAAGAGAUAGCUUUCAGUAUACAUCGCUGGGAGGGCAGUAUAAAACUUAAUACAAUUAGCUUCUGAUGGCUUUUGUCAGCUAAGGUAAACAUAUGGUCAUCUUUGUUAAAGAAGAUAAAUAGCUGCACUAUCUACAUGGAAAGAUACCACAGUUCCUAGUACUGCAUUGAACUGCUAAAGAAGAUACAACUUUUAAAUGUCUGAUACAAUUUAUUUAAUCAAAUACUUAUAAUUUUUAUAUAAAAGCACAUGUCAUGUAAUAUAAAUAAAUUGAGCAAUGUUGAUAUUCACUUCACUACAAAUUUUGCAAUUCUAUAUCGCAA